GCUGUUUUCUUCAUAGAAAUAUCAUAAAACGUUAACCUGAUUGGGUAGACCACCUGUGUCUCCAGCAGGGCUCAGCAGUUUCUUAAUUAAGUGAUUAUUUAGUAUUUUUACUGUAGAAGUUUGCAUACAGUGCAUUAUUUUCUCUAUCUUACAAGGUCUUCUGUUUUUAUUCAGGUGCAGUAAAUCAGGGAGAGAUAAGACUGCUUGCAGUUGUCAAGCUACAGCACCUUAAGAUAACAGGCAGUGCACAUUGUACUGCUCUGAUACUACAGAGAAGGAAGGUAUCCUGGAGGUAUCUAUGUGGAUAUUUAAACCUCUUACCAGUGCUUCUGGGUCCUGUGGUACAGGCAGUACCUGUAAUAACAGUCUCUGAGAUGUCGCUUUGGCCCAGUUCUGCAUGCUGUUGGACAUCUGUAAAAGGCUAA
rnacentral:lncRNA from 1 species